GACGAACGCUGGCGGCGUGCUUAACACAUGCAAGUCGAACGGAAAGGCCUGCUUUCCCUUGUGGAUUGCGGGUACUCGCGUGGCGAACGGGUGAGUAACACGUGAGUGAUCUGCCCCCAACUUGGGUAUAAGCCUGGGAAACUGGGUCUAAUUCCCGAUAGGACUGCAGGGUGGUGCCUGUGGUGGAAAACGAUUUUCUAGUGGUUGGGGAUGAGCUCGCGGCCUAUCAGCUUGUUGGUGGGGUAAUGGCCUACCAAGGCGGCGACGGGUAGCCGGCCUGGGGGGGUGGACGGCCACAUUGGGACUGAGAUACGGCCCAGACUCCUACGGGAGGCAGCAGUGGGGAGUAUUGCACAAUGGGCGGAAGCCUGAUGCAGCGACGCCGCGUGGGGGAUGACGGCCUUCGGGUUGUAAACUCCUUUCGACCGCGAGGAAGCCACCUGGUUGGAAGGGUGGUGACGGUAGUGGUAGAAGAAGCACCGGCUAACUACGUG
rnacentral:rRNA from 1 species